AUGGGACGCGGUGCUGCAGCCACUGCCCCACAUGUGGUUCCACGCACGUCCAUACUGCAAAAUGGCAGCGGUGCUGCCCUGCUCUUUGUGGGGUCAGUGUUGGCCGAGCCCUGCAGCAUCCUGGGCUGCUCCGGUGCCGUGCCGUGCCGUGCCAUGCAGUGUAGCUCCAUACCAUGGGGGCUGCAGCUCCGUGCAGCAGCGGAUCCUCCUGCAGAGAAAGUAAAAAUAGCAGCAGGGUGCGGGAGGCAGCGCUCGCCCCCCACCCGCCAGCGCCGGGAGGAGCGGGAGCUUCGGUGCCGCUGCGGGGACAGCGGGGCCACGGGGACGGGCAUUGCACCGUGGGGAUGGGGAGAUGUGGGGAGGGGGUGUGGGGCGGGUGGGACGCUGCGGGGGAACGGGGUGCUGCGGGGACAGGGUGCGGGAGGGGUGCAGUGUUGUGGGGAUGGGAAUGCACAGGGUCGGAGUACGGUGGGGACAGAGCAUCCCUGGGGACGGGGAAUCGUGGGGACGGGUCAGUGCGGGACGGAGCAUCGCGGGGGCAGUGCACGUGGGCAGUGCACGGGAGGAUGCCGGAACUCGGUCCGAAAGGUGAGUGCCGGGUGGGCGGGGCCUGGGCAACGGUGUGGGCGGAGCCACGGAGGGGGCGGGGUUAAAGUGGGGGGGUGUCAGUGGGUGCCUCCGUGCCCCCCACCCCGGGGAACCCUUUCCUCCCGUCCGUGGCAUUCCUCCCUGCCCGGGAUGCUGGGGGUCCUGCGGCGAGUGAGGGGUCUGGGGGGGGGCACUUUUGGGGUCCGCCCCCUUCCUGUGUUCCCCCCCAACCCCCUCACCAUCCCCGCAGCGUGCAGCGGGGGCGGCGGGCGGGGGCCGAGCGCUCCCUGGGGUGCAGAGGAGGUGCAGGUGUGGGAACACGCGUGGGAGCGCGCGUGGGAGCAGCAGGGUGGGGGGGGCGCCGGGGCCUUAACCCCUUCCGUGCUGGGAGCCCCCCUCCGGGAGAAGCCGCGGGGAGAAAGGGGGGCUCGAGGGGCUGCUCCCCAUUCCCUCCCCCUAAAGGGUGCUGUACAGAGGGUCGCGCCCCCCCGGCACCCCUCUGUGUGCUAUGGGGAAGCUGAGGCACAGAGCAGCGCUGGCGGGACGGGGGGGGUGCAACCCCCUAACCCCCCCCACCCCCCAACACCACGGGGGGCUGUGCCCUGUUGGGCUGGGGGCUCUCACCUGUUUCCCUUCAAACGCGGGGGGCACCAGGGCAGGCGCGGGGCGGGGUCGUGUCCCCAUGUCCCCAUCGGGACUCGGGGCGGCGGGGAGAUGAGGGGCACGGCCCCG
rnacentral:lncRNA from 1 species